GAUGAAGAACGUAGCGAAAUGCGAUAAGUAAUGUGAAUUGCAGAAUUCAGUGAAUCAUCGAAUCUUUGAACGCACAUUGCGCCCGCCAGUAUUCUGGCGGGCAUGCCUGUCCGAGCGUCAUUUCAACCCUCGAACCCCUCCGGGGGGUCGGCGUUGGGGACCUCGGGAGCCCCUAAGACGGGAUCCCGGCCCCGAAAUACAGUGGCGGUCUCGCCGCAGCCUCUCCUGCGCAGUAGUUUGCACAACUCGCACCGGGAGCGCGGCGCGUCCACGUCCGUAAAACACCCAACUUCUGAAAUGUUGACCUCGGAUCAGGUAGGAAUACCCGCUGAACUUAAGCAUAUCACUAAGCGGAGGA
rnacentral:misc_RNA from 1 species